ensembl:ncRNA E01G6.6 ncRNA
GAAGCAUGUAGUAGUGGAGUACGAUAAAGUUGUCUUUUUUGCGACGCGAAAAAACACAUCUCGGCAUGAACAGUUGACUUGUGUUUAUGGUAGAAUUAGACAAAGCGAUGAAGCAACGGCAGUUUGCUCAGCAAACAUUCG